GGUGGCUCAGUGGUAGAGUGCUUGCCUCACAUGCAUAAGGCCCUGGGUUCGAUUCCUUAGCACCA
rnacentral:tRNA from 1 species